UGUUCUUGGACUCCGCGGACACUGCGGAGACUCCGGACCUCCGAGCUUAUCCUGAACACCUUGACGGAGCUGGACCUCAGUGACAGCCCUGAGGGGAAAAGGGAUCCUAACUGGUCCAAUACCUGACCCCAAGUCUGGAAAGUCGUGAUAGAGGCAGAGACUCCGGGAACGUCAUGGUUUGGCUGGAUCUGGAGGGGUGCACAGGAAGGAGAACCCUGGCUGUCCACUAAGUAAUACGUUGUAUGAUCCUACUAAGCAAGUUACUUUCCUUUUC